rnacentral:lncRNA from 1 species
UUUUAUUAACUGGAGUAAUCAAGGAGAGGGCUCAGGUUUACAGCUCUAGAGGGGUUAUAGCUGGGGAGGAGGUGUUAAUAGAGAAGACAGCACUAUAAACCACUAUUUAAUUUAAGGUUUAGGCCUUUAGGUUGUACUUGGAUCAGAAUUUCCAAGCUUCAGUUGGAUUAUGAAGAACUGCAGGUGACAAUGCUGUAGUUACCUGGCUAAAACGGUCUGGAACUUGCAGUGUGUUUUAGCGAGCCUCUUCAGUGAAAGAUCUGGGCGUAUCUUAGAAGAUAGCUGUUUGCAGCAGUCACUCCACUGUGACCAGGAGGUCAGCUGGGUGCCAGUCUUGAAGGUCUUCUGGAGUCUCAGACAAGUGUCCCAUCUGGCCAGUGUCACAAAGAUGAAAGGAAAUUGUUAUUUCAGACAAAGGCCUUUACUUGAUAGCAUUUUUUCUCUAUCUGGAAGGGAAGCCAUUUUACAGCUGCCUUACCUUCUUUCACCACUUCAGAGUUGGACAAAAAAUUUUAAAGGAGUAGCCUAA